rnacentral:rRNA from 1 species
UUGCUCUUCAACGAGGAAUGCCUAGUAAGCGCAAGUCAUCAGCUUGCGUUGAUUACGUCCCUGCCCUUUGUACACACCGCCCGUCGCUACUACCGAUUGAAUGGCUCAGUGAGGCCUUGGGAUUGGCCAGGGGAGAUGGGCGACCAUCACCCCAGGCCGAAAACUUGGUCAAACUUGGUCAUUUAGAGGAAGUAAAAGUCGUAACAAGGUUUCCGUAGGUGAACCUGCGGAAGGAUCAUUACCGAGUUAGGGUCUCCUUCGUGAGGCCCGACCUCCCAACCCUGUGUCUAAUAAACCUGUAUGUGUUGCUUCGGCGGAACGGCAGUCAACCCCUUCGGGGAGAGACCGUCGCCGGGGGAUCUCACCGGUCUCACGACCGGCCCCUGGAGAGCGUCCGCCGAUGGCCCAACCAAACAAACUCCCAAACCAAAUAAUAGUACCUAAAACUUCUGAAUCAGACUUUUGAUAUACCAAUCAAAGAUAAAACUUUCAACAACGGAUCUCUUGGUUCUGGCAUCGAUGAAGAACGCAGCGAAAUGCGAUAAGUAAUGCGAAUUGCAGAAUUUCCGUGAGUCAUCGAAUCUUUGAACGCACAUUGCGCCCUUUGGCAUUCCGAAGGGCAUGCCUGUUCGAGCGUCAUUAUCCUCUCUCAAACCUCGUGUUUGGUGUUGGACCGCGUUGGACCGCCUCCAUGGCCAACUGGUCUCAAAGACAAUGACGGCGUCCCAGGGACCCUCUUCGCACUGAGUUCUCCGGAGCACGCGUAGAGUUUCAAGGGCCCAGGGACCCGGUCGCCUCAAAACUUUUUUCAGGUUGACCUCGGAUCAGGUAGGAAUACCCGCUGAACUUAAGCAUAUCAAUAAGCGGAGGA